AUUGAACGCUGGCGGCAUGCCUUACACAUGCCAGUCGAACGGCAGCACGGGUGCUUGCACCUGGUGGCGAGUGGCGAACGGGUGAGUAAUACAUCGGAACAUGUCCUGUAGUGGGGGAUAGCCCGGCGAAAGCCGGAUUAAUACCGCAUACGAUCUACGGAUGAAAGCGGGGGACCUUCGGGCCUCGCGCUAUAGGGUUGGCCGAUGGCUGAUUAGCUAGUUGGUGGGGUAAAGGCCUACCAAGGCGACGAUCAGCAGCUGGUCUGAGAGGACGACCAGCCACACUGGGACUGAGACACGGCCCAGACUCCUACGGGAGGCAGCAGUGGGGAAUUUUGGACAAUGGGCGAAAGCCUGAUCCAGCAAUGCCGCGUGUGUGAAGAAGGCCUUCGGGUUGUAAAGCACUUUUGUCCGGAAAGAAAUCCUUGGCCCUAAUACGGUCGGGGGAUGACGGUACCGGAAGAAUAAGCACCGGCUAACUACGUG
rnacentral:rRNA from 1 species